ACAUGCCUACAACAUAGCGUUAAUGCACCGGAUCCCAUUAAAACUCCGCAGUUAACCGUGCUCAGGGAGUAGUACUGGGAUGGGUGAUCACCCGGGAAGUCCUAGUGUUUUACAUGCC
rnacentral:rRNA from 1 species